UGACAGACUUGAGGUCUGGAAGUCUGAAACGCCUACAACAAAACUGCAGAGUGCAGAGUCGCAGACUCGCAGACUGUCAGACUCCACUACUACACCAAACCCUAUUAUCUUAUUUACUAAAAUUUAUUACAUGAUCGUCUGGAUAAUUUCGGAGAACUCCUAAAAUAAAGAAAACAACCUUCAACAGGCCUUCAGACUGCACUCUUCUACCAAAAUGUAGGUAGCCUACUAAUCUUACUAUCCAUUGAAAUUUGUAACAUCAGCAUCAGUGAAACUUCUGGAAACUUCUAAAAUAAAGUUGCUAGAGGAGAGAUGUCAACAAGAGGAAUAUAACUAGGAGCAGGCAACGGUUAGGCGUUUCUAAAGGGGAGAGGUGUCCCAAAAGCAGCGUCAUUGAACACUUCAGAGAGAAAGAACACGAAGCAAGGAAAAUAAGCUGUUUUUGAAGGCGAGAGAACUCUGAGCACAAGCUAUAUCUGACAGGGAGAGAAGUCUACAAAAGAUGUUACUGAAGAAAGAGAUUAGUCGAAGAAAUGCAGAAAGUUCCCGAAGGGUACAGAAUUCUACAUAAGUUGUUGUCCCUGUAGAAGAGAAAAGUCGAAGAAGAAACACAGCUAGUCCUGAAGGGGAAAGAAGUUUACACAAGUUGCUGUUCCUGUAAAAAAAAAGUCUAAGAAGAAAUACUACUAGUUCCCGAAAGGGACAAAAGUCUACACAAGUUGCUGUUCUUGUAGGGAAUAGUCUCGGAAGAAACAACUAGUUUGCGAAGGGGAUAGAAGUCAUCAAAUGCUGCUAGUUUCUAGUAGUUGAAGAAAAGUAAACAAAUGCUGCCGUUUUUGAAUAAGAGAGAACUACUAGUCCCCCACGUGAACAAAAUAGUUGAAGAAAUUACUAGUUAUCCUUGUUAAAAACAAUUAGCUCCUAAAGAAGAGAACUAGUGGAGGAGACUACUAGUUUCUGUCGAAGAAAUAACUAGUUCCUGGAGAUGAGAACAUUCAAAGAAAUUUAAGAAGUUUACCAACGCUGCUGUUCAUGAAGACUAAUCUCACUUUUCAACCAUUGUUCACCAAAAAAUUUUAUUUCUGGAAAAGAUUGAUAUUUCUAGGAAGUAGCUAUAUAUACUUGGCGACUUGGAAUCUUCUAAGUAAACCAAGAUACUUCCGACUUGAUCUUCUACGUAAAUGAAGAUGCCUUUAUAUCCUCAAUCUUCUAUGUAAUGCAGAAUGCUAUAUACAUACAUAGUCAAUGACUUCGAAUCUUCUUCUAUGUAACCCAGGAUGAUUACAGAAUGUCUGCUGCAUCUUUGUAAAACAUCAGGAAAAUUGGGAUGUAACCAAGUUGAAUCUCUGCUGCAUCUUCAGUAACUUUACCACAGCUGUCAACUAAACUGUGCUGUAACAACGUAACUGAGAUGAAUCUCUCCUGAUCAUGUAAUUAUCUUCAGAAGCGUUACCAAAAAGCCACCGACUAACUUUUGCAACUUUAAUUAAUGUUCUCGGUAACAGCAGGAAGAAUUAAUCUGUUGCGCUGUUAAUCUGAAAGCCCCUGCAUCAGAUUUAUUGGGAAAUUGCAUUCUAUCCCCAAGAAAAUUUCUAAACCUCUGCUUGCUAUGGAAUACGCCUUGUUUAAUGUCAAAGUCUUGUCUUCCUCCCCUGUAAUAUCUUUGUUUCUGGUCCAGAUGAACAGAAUUCAUACCUGUAAACGAUACGAAUAUAAAAUUCUCUGGUAAAUAUAUAUUAAAAUCAAUUUUCACAAUUUAAUUCACAAAGAUUUUAUACUUGAAAAAUCUGUCAAACAAAUUAAUUAUUGAUUAUGCCAACAAAUUUAUUGCACCAAAAAAUUUCUAACAUACUGAAAAUAUGCCUCAAUUUCUGGAAAAUUGGAAGAUUAAAGUGUAUACGUAUAACCAAAGGGCAUAUGAAUUUACAAACUUUUACUGUAUUUUUAUAAGUUCUUCCUUGGACUUUUACUAUUUCUACAUUCAAAUGUGAAGGUUCUCAAGCAAAAUAAUUUAUUUCCAGUAACUCAGAUAAUUAGCAUUAGCUUAAGUUAAGCUGAAAUCUAGCUUCCCUCAGCAAUUAGCUACAGCUUUUAGUGAAAAAAUCUUCAAAUUAGUUUGACCUCCCAGUACAAGACUUAAUACAGUACAAGACUUGAUAGAUAAAAAUUUCGAUAAACGUUAUGUAAAUUACAUCAGCAGAUGAUUCGAAGAGUUG